AUUGAACGCUGGCGGCAUGCUUUACACAUGCAAGUCGAACGGCAGCGCGGGCUUCGGCCUGGCGGCGAGUGGCGAACGGGUGAGUAAUACAUCGGAACGUGCCCAGUAGUGGGGGAUAGCUCGGCGAAAGCCGGAUUAAUACCGCAUACGACCUGAGGGUGAAAGCGGGGGAUCUUCGGACCUCGCGCUAUUGGAGCGGCCGAUGGCAGAUUAGCUAGUUGGUGGGGUAAAGGCCUACCAAGGCGACGAUCUGUAGCUGGUCUGAGAGGACGACCAGCCACACUGGGACUGAGACACGGCCCAGACUCCUACGGGAGGCAGCAGUGGGGAAUUUUGGACAAUGGGCGAAAGCCUGAUCCAGCAAUGCCGCGUGUGUGAUGAAGGCCUUCGGGUUGGAAAGCACUUUUGGCGGGAACGAAAAGGACUGUGCCAAUACCACGGUUCGAUGACGGUACCCGCAGAAUAAGCACCGGCUAACUACGUG
rnacentral:rRNA from 1 species